rnacentral:lncRNA from 1 species
AAUUUUAUAUUAAUAUAAUAUUAAAAUUUUUUUUAGGCUUGAUAAAUUUAUCAUGCCAUUUGCUAUCAUGUCUUUAUUAAUUUUGUGCGAUAUGUUUUCUACGUUAUAAUAUACAUCUCUGUAAGUCUUUUAGGUCAAGUAGGGGUUGAAGUCACAAGAUGGCUUUUCCUUUUCCUUUUUCUUUUCUAUUCUUUUUUUUUUCUUAUGAUGGCUUUUCAUCUUACAUCUAUUUUCUUUCAUUUUUCUUUUGUAAUGUAUUGAAACAACUCUUUUAUCUCUUUCUCAUAUAUUCAUUAUUACAGAUAAAAAAAUAUCCCUAUUAAACUAUUCAUAUAUAUGAUUAAAACAAUUGGAUUAUCUUACUUUUUA